UAUAUUUAUUAAUUAAAAAUGUAUAAUAUUUUCGUCUUAAAAUUCCUAUUAUAAAAACUUUAAAAAAUUGAAGGAACGACCAAGUGAACGCAUUCAUUUUUUCAUUUAACAUAAACGUGAACGAGUUUCUUUUUUAAGGAGUGAACGUGGACGAAUUUAUUUUUUUAGUAAACGUUACGAACACUGUAUAUAUAAAGUGUGGAGCCAGGCAUACUGACGUGGAAACCCUCAAACUGUGAAGAGGACAUAUUUUAGAGCCAGGAUUCCAGACAUCUGCGUCUUUUAAACUUAUAAUCGUCAGAAGGGAUUUACUGAUUAAGGCUUCAACUACAAAGGUCAUUAGCCUGGUAAUGUCUGGGGGAGGGACGGUUAGUUGGAACACCAAAUGUUGUAUGUAUGGCAAGGAUGUAUUGCUAAAAACGCGGAUGGUCACCCAUCCGAGUGCUAACAACGACGGCCGAUAAGUACGUUCAGAGCGCUGCCGUAUAUUGAGCGUACGACCGCUCCUCGCCAAGCCACUUAUAUUAUAUUAUUAGUACAAUAUUACAAUAGUAUCUAUUAUUCCAAAUUGAAUAAAAUAAUAAUAAUUUUUCAA